CACUUUAGAUCUAAAAAUAAAUACACACAUCGAUCUCAUCGAUGCUGAAAUCUAUAUCUAACUAUUAGAUCUAACGACAUGAUCAACACAGGUUAGAAACAAUUACCAAACCAAAGAAAUCUUGAUCUUUGCUAGUCCAACACUUGGAGAAGAUAUUCCUCAAAUCACUCACAGCCACACUAAGUUGUCUGACCUCUACAGAAAAUCCAUGCGAAGAUUGACACAGAUCAAGGGCUAGGAGGUGCUAACCUGUAAGCAACUUCGAUGGCUGAUUUUUUCCUUCGUCUUCAAAUACCUUGGAUGUUCUAAAGGAUGAAG
rnacentral:lncRNA from 1 species